AAGAGUGCUGGUGCUCCAGCAGCUUAGCUAAUAAUUGACCAGUGUUUCUAAAAAAAAAAUUAUUUUUUUUUAAAUUAUUUUCAUUUUCAUCUGAGACUCAUACUGCCCACAAGAGGUUGCUUCCUUCUCUUUACUGCAUCAGCUGCAGGAACUUUCUCUCUACAGAAACUGCCUUGCUACAUACGGUGAUGAAAACUUGGACACUUAAUAUAGAAAGCUAAAUGCAGGUUGAGAGCCAUUGCUCAAAGUUUAGUUACAUGUAUACAAUAUAGAUAAAAUGUAUUUUUAUACAUACUUAAAUAUCUACGUGUUUCGGGCAUGAUAAUAGAGUCCUAUUUCCUUUUCCCACCUUCCCUCAACCUUGUUAGGCUGAAUGAUUGAGGUUGUGAUUGAAAAUACCGGGAACUACUUCUGCCAAAUAACAAAAAUAAAGAUGUCUCCUGUAUUUGUAAGACCAAAAGCAGUUGUUCAUAAAUGAUCUUUUUAAUUUGUCUUACUCUUUGCCAGGGUUGUGGCAGGCCUUGUUGGAGAGCUGAAUGUGAUUCUUUGAUGACCUUUGGGAAAAUGCAGCAUGCUGUCAUCAAAUUAGCAGGCAAAGAAGAAAUGGAGAAUUAUCAGGCAUUCCUGAUAUCCUGUUUUCCUCUUGGUUUACAAAGAAAACUCAGUGUCAAGGGAACUGAAGACUGGGAUGUGCUGGGCUAAUAUAAAUUUGACCAAAGCCAAGAAUGCCCCUGGUUUGGCUCUGGAAAGAGUACUAAGCAGCCGAGGACAUUUGGAUAGCCAAAUCCAACCCAGUGCGGUGAGCUUCCUAUAUUGUGCUGCAUAUAGCAAUAGCUAUAUACAUAAAUUUUAUUCUGUCUGUCCUAUCCUUAUAUCAUUUUUUUUUAACAGAAGAUAGUCUGCUUUCUGCUAAGUGUCAAAGCAGGGGGACAAUAACUUCGUGUGUAUACAAACUGCAUAUUUUUCUUUUCUAGAAACAGUUUUAUUAUUAUUAUUAUUAUUUUUCCACUGGUUCCCUGCUUUUUAGCCAGAAUUAACUGUAUGGCUCCAGUUUGCCCUGGUCAGGAUGUGGGAAGAGCUAAAUCCAACAUACAGACUGACCUAAAAAAGUUGUAUUGGCACUAAGAGGGAGUCAAUAGGUAAUUUAUUUUGCAACCUAAGUAGAAACUGGGGGGGGGUGUGAAUAAAACGAAAUAAAUUACAACA
rnacentral:lncRNA from 1 species